rnacentral:tRNA from 1 species
GCCCGAAUGGCGGAAUUGGUAGACGCGCACGACUCAAACUCGUGUUCUUAAAAAGAGUGUGGGUUCGAUUCCCACUUCGGGCACCA